rnacentral:rRNA from 1 species
GACGAACGCUGGCGGCGUGCUUAACACAUGCAAGUCGAACGGAAAGGCCCUGCUUUUGUGGGGUGCUCGAGUGGCGAACGGGUGAGUAACACGUGAGUAACCUGCCCUUGACUGUGGGAUAACUUCAGGAAACUGGGGCUAAUACCGGAUAGGAGCUCCUGCUGCAUGGUGGGGGUUGGAAAGUUUCGGCGGUUGGGGAUGGACUCGCGGCUUAUCAGCUUGUUGGUGGGGUAGUGGCUUACCAAGGCUUUGACGGGUAGCCGGCCUGAGAGGGUGACCGGCCACAUUGGGACUGAGAUACGGACCAGACUCCUACGGGAGGCAGCAGUGGGGAAUAUUGCACAAUGGGCGGAAGCCUGAUGCAGCAACGCCGCGUGCGGGAUGACGGCCUUCGGGUUGUAAACCGCUUUCGCCUGUGACGAAGCGUGAGUGACGGUAAUGGGUAAAGAAGCACCGGCUAACUACGUG